GCUUAUCAUCUGCAUAUCAUCCGGAAUCUCAGGGAGUCCUGGAACGAUGGCACCAAACAUUUAAAAAACUUCAAAACCUUAUUUGCUCUUACCCAGAACUUUAUGGAGAAAAUCCAGGUCAGUGUACAGUUCUCACCCAUGACAUCGAACUUCUACCAGGAACUGCUCCCAUACGACAACACCCUUAUCGCAUCAGCCCGGCCAAGAAAUUAGUAAUGAAAAAAGUGGAAUAUCUUCUGAGAACUGGAUUAGCUAAACCAAGCAAGUCACCAUGGGCGUCUCCCUGUCUAUUGGUACCAAAGGAGGAUAGCAGCAUGCGACUGUGUACAGAUUACAGGAGAGUAAAUUCUGCUACUGUUAAGGAUAGUUGCCCUUUACCCCGUCUAGAUGACCUUAUAGGCUCUGUGGGCCAAGCAAAGUAUGUAGCUAAAAUAGAUCUCCUCAAGGGGUAUUAUCAGGUGAAGUUAACAUCUAGAGCCAAGCUUAUUUCGGCUUCAGAACUCCUUUUGGGUUAUUCCAGUAUGAAGUAAUGCCUUUUGGUUUAACAAAUGCCCCAUCCACAUUUCAACGCAUAAUUAACUACACCAUUCAGGGUCUAGAGGGAGUAUUUGCAUAUCUAGAUGAUAUAUUGGUGAUAGGAGAUUCUUGGAAGGAGCUGAUGACACGUUUGAAUAUGCUUUGAAUAUGCUCUUUGAUAGAUUAAGAGAAGCCCAGUUAACAAUAAAUUUACAAAAAUGUGUUUUUGGUCAAGCUACAGUUACUUACUUGGGACAUAUUGUAGGUGGAGGUAAUGUCAGGCCUAAAACUGCAAAUGUUAAUGCCAUUCUUGACUAUCCAGAACCUAAGACUAGGAAAUCCCUUAAAAGAUUUCUGGGUAUGGUUUCAUAUUACAGGAAGUUCUGCCGUAAUUUUGCUUCAGUAGCUGCCCCUUUACAUAGUCUUACCAGCCCUAAAAAGAAGUAUGAAUGGGAUGAGAAAUGUCAGGCAGCAUUUGAACAUUUAAAAUAUUUUUUGAGUAGUGAGCCAGUCUUACACAGUCCUAAUUUUUCUAAACCCUUCUCUUUGCAAGUAGACGCUUGCGACACUGGUGCUGGAGGAGUGCUGUUGCAGGAAAUUGAUGGGGUACUCCACCCAAUAGGAUACACCUCCAGUAGUUUCAAGCUUCAUCAGUUGUCCUACAGUACCAUAGAGAAGGAGCUCUUAAGUUUGGUUCUUGCUCUCCAAAAGUUUGAAUGUUAUCUACAAGGAGCUCCUGUCAUCCAUGUCUAUACGGACCACAACCACCUCACCUUUCUUGAGCGCACCAAGGCCCAUAAUCAGCGCUUACUAAGAUGGGCUUUAUAUCUUCAAAACUUCAACCUUCAAAUAAAGCACCUCAAGGGCAGCGACAACGUAUUUGCUGAUGCCUUGUCACGGGCCCAUUCUCAACCUUCUCAGGAGAAGGAAGGUGUUUAACUUUGAUCAAGCCACUCCGCUGGGUUUGAUCCUCUAUGGGGAGGUAUUACACCUUCCACAUAAUUGUAAUUAUUGUAUAUAUUUUGCCUGACUGUUUUCCCCUGUAUACCACUUUCCUUUGUCCUUUCCAAGAAACUUGUUGGUCUUGUUUCACACUCCUUGUUCUUACUUGCUCCGCCCAUCCUAACUUUCUUCGACCCCUAAAUGUAAUUUUGAAUCGGUCUCCACUCAGCAACUAAACCAAGGACUCUGGUGUCCGGCAGGGAAGCAGUCCACUUUAUUGUGAUGUAUCUAUAAGCUAAGUAUAAGUGAUAUUGUUGUAAGGGUUUAAUAACGAAUUGUGCUUUGUUUCAAGUGUUCUUAAUUUCAAGUAUGAUUACUUUUCGAGACGUGGUUGUCACUUGUCAUUUGUUAUUUAUUUUGUCCUAUUGUUUUGUAAAUACUUUUUGCAUUAUUAUAUUUAAAUCUUGUUU